UUUUAGUCCGUGUCUUUGACGAAAUAGACUUUUUAACGGGGGAUUUACGGACAAUAUUAUAUCAUAUCAUGUCGUGCAGUAAAUCUUUGAAGGCUACAGAUCUCCAUUCGUCCUGGAAAGUCGAGUUUGACUGGAAGGAUUUUCCGGAAGAACUUGUUCAGGGAUGUUGUGCUGUUGCAUCUGUUUUGUGCGUGCCAACGGUGGCUGUUUUAUAUAGCCUUAUCACGGUCGCGGCUUUUGCUGUAAGCCAUGCACAAGUCUCUCCACCUGACACCAAAUGGAGGGAAAAUGUUCUUCUGUGGACAGCCAUCUGUCUGCCAACAGGCGCUGGGAAAUCUACUAUCUGUAAAUGGAUUCAAGAACUUGUGACUGAUGUUUACACGAAGUUGCGGAAAGACCAUACGGACAGUGGUAGUCCGUCUGCUGGGUUUACUUAUGUACUAAAUGGUGGAAGUACUUCAAUUAAUUGUUAAAUUACAAGGAAUAACAUAACAACUACUACUUCUUAUGAUACAAAGUAGUGAAAGAUGACUGCAAUACAUGUAGUUUAUAAAUAGAUAGGGGAGAUGUUUUCAGGUACUUGUAUUUAGAAGUGACGUAAAAAAAGGGAAAUAUAAUAU